AUGAUGUUCAAGCACUUCCUGGAGGUUUGCCAGGUGGCCUAUGUCUCCUUUGGACCUUAUGCUGGAAAGCUGGUCGCAGUUGUAGAUGUUACUGAUGAAAACAGGGCUCUGGCUGAUGGACUUUGCACUCAGGUAAUGGGACAGGCCGUGUCUUUCAAAUGCAUGCAGCUCACUGACUUCAUCCUCAAGUUCCCACAUAGCACCCACCAAAGGUAUGUCCAACAAGCCUGGCAGCAGGUAGACCUCAAUGCAAAAUGGGCAGCCACACUAAGCCAAGAAGAUUGAAGCCAAAGAGAGGAAAGCCAAGAUGACAGAUUUUGAUUGUUUUAAAGCCAUGAAGGCAAAGAAAAUGAGGAAAAGAAUAAUUAAGAAUGAAGUUAGAGUUUAGGAAGCUUCGAAAGGCAGCUCUCCUGAAAGCUUCUACCAGAAAAGCACCUGCUGCUAAAGUCCCAGCAAAAAAGAUGAUCACUGCGGGCAAGAAGGCUCCAGCCCGGAAGAUUCCUGCCCAGAAAGCCACAGGCCAGAAGGCAGCACUUCUUCAGAAAGCUCAGAAGGGUCAAAAAGUGUUGGCCCAGGGAGCACCUUCUCCAAAAGUGUCUGGCAAGGAAG
rnacentral:lncRNA from 1 species